ensembl:misc_RNA 7SK 7SK RNA
GGGCGAUCUGGGUACAACAUCUGUCACUCAAUUGAUCACGAGGGCUGAUUUGGCUAACUAUGCGGAUGUUCCCUUCUGAAUCCC